rnacentral:tRNA from 1 species
AGGGACUUAGGUUAGUACAAAGACCAAAGGCCUUCAAAGCCUUAAGCGAGGGUGAAAAUCCCCCAGCCCCUA